UACGAAGGGUGCAAGCGUUACUCGGAAUUACUGGGCGUAAAGCGUGCGUAGGUGGUGCGUUAAGUCUGUCGUGAAAUCCCCGGGCUCAACCUGGGAAUGGCGAUGGAUACUGGCGCGCUAGAGUGAGGUAGAGGAGAGUGGAAUUCCCGGUGUAGCAGUGAAAUGCGUAGAGAUCGGGAGGAACAUCAGUUGCGAAGGCGGCUCUCUGGACCAUCACUGACACUGAGGCACGAAAGCGUGGGGAGCAAACAGG
rnacentral:rRNA from 1 species